rnacentral:rRNA from 1 species
CCUACGGGAGGCAGCAGUGAGGAAUAUUGGUCAAUGGACGAGAGUCUGAACCAGCCAAGUAGCGUGAAGGAUGACUGCACUAUGGGUUGUAAACUUCUUUUAUAUGGGAAUAAAAUGUUCCACGUGUGGGAUUUUGUAUGUACCAUAUGAAUAAGGAUCGGCUAACUCCGUGCCAGCAGCCGCGGUAAUACGGAGGAUCCGAGCGUUAUCCGGAUUUAUUGGGUUUAAAGGGAGCGUAGGUGGAUUGUUAAGUCAGUUGUGAAAGUUUGCGGCUCAACCGUAAAAUUGCAGUUGAAACUGGCAGUCGUGAGUACAGUAGAGGUGGGUGGAAUUCGUGGUGUAGCGGUGAAAUGCUUAGAUAUCACGAAGAACUCCGAUUGCGAAGGCAGCUCACUGGACUGCAACUGACACUGAGGCUCGAAAGUGUGGGUAUCAAACAGGAUUAGAUACCCCAGUAGUC